rnacentral:snRNA from 1 species
GUGCUCACUUUGACAGCACAUAUGCUAAAACUGAAACGAUACAGAGAAGAUCAGCAUGGCCCCUGCACAAGGAUGACAUGUAAAUCUUUUAAAUUAAAAAAAAAAAA